UUCAGCAAUUAUGUAGCUGAGAAAUUUAGCUGGGUCGGGUCAAAAGGAAAAAGAAUUUUUUCAACACUUCAUUUGUGUCGUGUUAUUCUAGAUGUUGUCGGGAAAGCAUCGACCACAAAUUUGGUCACAGAAGAUAUGAUUGCGAAAGUCAUUAAAGAUUGGUUACGGCACGCGAAGGAACGAUUGUCACGAGAGAAACCGCCCCUAUCUUUGCACACAGAUGCAGAAGAAAACUCCGCCAGAGAACCAGAUGCCGAAGUAGAACUUAACGUUCCUGGAGUAGCUGAAGGGACUGAUUAUUCCAACUAAAAUACACGCACAUACCAAAUGACUGCCUAAAUUGGCAUUACAUGAUGAAAAUAUCUGAUGCUUCUGCGACUGUGAUUAUAAAAUUAAGUGGCACAUUUCUAUCCGUCUGCUGGUUGGAUGGAAAUAAAGCUAAUGCCUUUUAAGUAUUAUUAUCCUUUAAGUUCGACAGCGCUUUAAACAGCGGUUCAAAUACUAUAUUAUUUAUUGCAAUACAUUGCAAGCAAAGCAAGUUUUAUGUUUCAAAUAAUACUAUGAGAUAAUGACUGACUCUACGUACUACAUGAUGUAGCCAAACUAAUCGUAAGUAUAUUAUUGAAGUUCCUUAUGGACGAUUCCGUACUAUUUCCCAUAUUUCUGUGUUGAU
rnacentral:lncRNA from 1 species